AUGCCGCUGGAGCGCUUCGACCUGCAGAUCUCGUCCCGGGAGCUGGUCCAGGCCUCCGACCCUCCCCCGGGCUUCCCGGCCGUGCACGCCGUCUCCAACCUCGACCUCCUCCUCGGCCCCUUCCCCAUCUACCUCGUCUGCAUCUACCCGCCUCCGCCGCGCGGCCUGGGCCCCGUCCUCGCCGCCGUCCGGGCCGCGCUCCCGGCCUACCUCUCCCGCUUCUUCCCCUUCGCCGGCCGCGUCGUGCGCCGCCCGGGCACCAACGUCCCCGAGGUCGCCUGCGACAACGCCGGCGCCGAGCUCGUCGUCGCCGACGCCGCCGGGCCCCCCCUCGCCGCCGUCGACUUCGCGCGCGUCGACCGGUCCCUGGGCAUGAUCCAGAUCCCGUUCGACGCGGGGCUCGCGCUGUCGCUGCAGCUGGUCCGGUUCGCGUGCGGGGGGUUCGCGCUCACCGUCGCCACCAACCACCUCCUCGCCGACGGCCGCGCGUUCGUCGUGCUGCUCAAUAGCCUCGCGGAGAUGGUCCGCGCCGGCGGCGGGGGCCUCUCCCGUGGUCCGCUGCUCGACCGGUCCUCCCUGCUCGCCCCGCGGUCGCCGCCGGUGUACCGCCCGUCGCUGGACGCGGAGUUCGCGAGGUUCACGCCGGCGACCAUGGUCAAUCCCCUCCUGGCCGCGGCCAUGGAGCGGCGCCUGUACCGCAUCGACGCGGCCGACCUCGCCGGGCUCCAGAUCGCGGCGUCGUCCGGCGAUGGCCGCCGCACCUCGCGCUUCGUGGCGCUGUGCGCGCACGUCUGGAAGCUCCUGGCCCGUGCGGUGGGCGAGUCCGACCCCAACUGCCGGAUGGCGUGGAUCGUCGACGGGCGGAAGCGCGUGGAGCCGUCGGCGGGCGCGCUGGACAUGUACAUGGGGAACGUGGUCACCUACACGUCCCGCGAGGCGAGCGUGGCAGGGCUGCUGCGCGCGCCGCUGCACGAGGUGGCGGCCGCCGCGCGCGCGGCCAUGGCUUCGGUGAUGACCAGGGAGAGGUUCCAGGAGCUGGUGGACUGGGUGGAGGUGAACAAAACGGCGUACAAGGACGGCGGGAAGUGGACGGAGGCGGUGAACCUCGGCCUGGGCAGCCCGGCGCUGGUGAUCUCGGGGCUGCUCCCGUUCGCCAUCGACGGGGACCUGGGGUUCGGGAAGCCGAGGCUGGUCCUGCCGUGGCUGCGGCACGGCCGGCUGGGGUCGGCGUCGGUGACGGUCGUGCCCUGCCCGGGCGGGGACGGGUCGUGGUUCGUCGGCGGCACACGGCUGUGGCCGCGGCUGGUGGAGGUGAUCGAGGCCGGCCCAGAGAGCCUGCUGAAGCCGGUGACCGCGGCGAGCCUGGGGUUCGAGGCGCCCCACGGCUCUCGUUUGUGA
rnacentral:rRNA from 1 species